rnacentral:rRNA from 1 species
GACGAACGCUGGCGGCGUGCUUAACACAUGCAAGUCGAACGAUGAAGCCGGAGCUUGCUCUGGUGAAUUAGUGGCGAACGGGUGAGUAACACGUGAGUAACCUGCCCUUGACUCUGGGAUAACUGCUAGAAAUGGUAGCUAAUACCGGAUACGACCCUCGGAGGCAUCUCCAGGGGGUGGAAAGAAUUUCGGUCAAGGAUGGACUCGCGGCCUAUCAGCUAGUUGGUGAGGUAACGGCUCACCAAGGCGACGACGGGUAGCCGGCCUGAGAGGGGUACCGGCCACACUGGGACUGAGACACGGCCCAGACUCCUACGGGAGGCAGCAGUGGGGAAUAUUGCACAAUGGGCGCAAGCCUGAUGCAGCAACGCCACGUGAGGGAUGACGGCCUUCGGGUUGUAAACCUCUUUUAGUAGGGAAGAAGCGAAAGUGACGGUACCUGCAGAAAAAGCACCGGCUAACUACGUGCCAGCCGCCGCAGUAA